GGGUUCCAGAUACAUAACAUUCUGCUACACAGAUGCUGUUUCCUUUGCCCAGCACACCUGUCACUCACCUCAACCCUUUCUCUCUUUUCCCCAUCUUUCUGUGGCUAGCUCCUCCUCAUUCUUUAGGUCUCAGUGUAGAUAGCACCACUAUCAGGAAGGAGUCCAGACACUGCCAGGCCUAAGGCUUCCAGAUACAGCCCUCUAGGUCAUCCAGAGGUGCCAGCCAGCCCUCACCAGUGGUCAGCUUUUCCUCAGUGGAGUGGUAGGUGAGCCAGUGGAGCUUGCUCUGAAGAUACUAGAGGGAGCCAAAGCUGUCUGGCCCUUCAGUGUGACUCAGUUUCCAGACUCUUUCUCUUUAGACAUAAAUGAAGAACAAGUCAACCUUGAUGCCUUUGAGGGUUGGUUCAGCGGAUGAUGUGUUGUGGGGUUUUCCCACAGGUCAGCAGUCCAACUACCAGGGCCAGAGCCCCAUCAAAGAAUCUUCAGUGCCAGCCAGAAAGAAUGAUGAACUCCUCGUGUAAAGGGAGUUUGGGGCAACCAGUCAAACCAUGGCCUCAUGGGAAGCAGCUGACUAGGCAAUGAGAGAGGAAUACAAAAGACAAGGCACUGCGAAGCCAAGUCUGGUUGGGGAGAAGAAACCAAUAUGCCUGAAACAGGGAACCAGAAAGGACUCAGACAAAACUGCUGACAAGUAUGGGGUUUCUUGGGGUAGGUGGUGAAAAUAUUCCAAAAUAAGAUUAUAGCGAUGUUUUAAUAAUCCCCUGGAUAUAAUAAAAAAACAUCGAAUUGUACACUUCAAA
ensembl:lncRNA LINC01704 long intergenic non-protein coding RNA 1704